CCCGCUAGCUGGCAUAAUGCUGGGCAGUAAGGAUCGUCUGCUGACUGAGAGUGAUAGAAAGGAGCGGACUCCCCCGCUAGCUGGCACAAUGCUGGGCAGUAAGGAUCGUCUGCUGACUGAGAGUGAUAGAAAGGAGCGGACUCCCCCGCUAGCUGGCACAAUGCUGGGCAGUAAGGAUCGUCUGCUGACUGAGAGUGAUAGAAAGGAGCGGACUCCCCCGCUAGCUGGCACAAUGCUGGGCAGUAAGGAUCGUCUGCUGACUGAGAGUGAUAGAAAGGAGCGGACUCCCCCGCUAGCUGGCAUAAUGCUGGGCAGUAAGGAUCGCCUACUGACUGAGAGUGAUAGAAUGGAGCGGACUCCCCCGCUAGCUGGCAUAAUGCUGGGCAGUAAGGAUCGUCUGCUGACUGAGAGUGAUAGAAAGGAGCGGACUCCCCCGCUAGCUGGCACAAUGCUGGGCAGUAAGGAUCGCCUACUGACUGAGAGUGAUAGAAAGGAGCGGACUCCCCCGCUAGCUGGCAUAAUGCUGGGCAGUAAGGAUCGUCUGCUGACUGAGAGUGAUAGAAAGGAGCGGACUCCCCCGCUAGCUGGCACAAUGCUGGGCAGUAAGGAUCGCCUGCUGGCUGAGAAUGAUAGGAUGGAGCGGACUCUACUGCUAGCUGACACAAUGCAGGGCAGUAAGGAUCGUCUGCUGACUGAGAGUGAUAGAAAGGAGCGGACUCCCCCGCUAGCUGGCACAAUGCUGGGCAGUAAGGAUCGUCUGCUGACUGAGAGUGAUAGAAAGGAGCGGACUCCCCCGCUAGUUGGCACAAUGCUGGGCAGUAAGGAUCGCCUGCUGACUGAGAGUGAUAGAAAGGAGCGGACUCCCCCGCUAGCUGGCACAAUGCAGGGCAGUAAGGAUCGCCUACUGACUGAGAGUGAUAGAAUGGAGCGGACUCUACUGCUAGCUGAGAAUGAUAGGAUGGAGCGGACUCCCCCGCUAGCUGGCACAAUGCUGGGCAGUAAGGAUCGCCUGCUGGCUGAGAAUGAUAGGAUGGAGCGGACUCCCCCGCUAGCUGGCACAAAGUUGGGCAGUAAGGAUUGCCUGCUGAUUCUGCGUGUCACUUCCCACUCUGCACUCAUACAUGGCACCCAUCCUCCUCCCCCUCACUCACACAUCCCAGAUGGUUUGCAGCCUCUGAGGCUCUGACUAGCAGCAUCCUAUCUCUCUCUCCAUUCUCCCAGCUCGUCUCCCUGCUCCUCCGAUGGGCUGCCGGGCUCACAAGAGCCCCGCAGUUUUGCUCUAUGUGUCCUGCGUCUGGCUGGCUUUCAUCCCGUCCUAUAGUCAGCACAAUGUGCGUAUCCAGAAACUGCCUCCAUUGUGGCGUCCUCAUUACCAGUACAACGAACACCACCACCAGCUGCCGGUAAUUGCUGGGGGGACAUGCCGGGUGGUCUCUGCGCACCGGUGCUGUAAUCAGAAUCGGAUUGAGGAACGCUCUCAGACUAUCCAGUGCUCCUGUCUCCCAGGAAAAGUGGCAGGAACCACAAGAGACAAACCUUCAUGCGUAGACGCUUCCAUUGUGAUGGGGAAAUGGUGGUGUGACAUGGAGCCUUGUCUGGAAGAGGAGGAGUGCCAGACACUUCCAGAUAAUUCUGGAUGGAUCUGCUAUGUGGGGGGCCGCAUAAAGACCACUAAGAUUCACUCAGGGUUCUGACAAUCUCCAGAUAAUUGUUUUCCUGUCCUGUGUUUGGAGACAGAGGGAUCCUCAAAGCACCAAAUGCCUACGUUACAAGGCCGAUACCUCCAGCAAGGAGCGGUGUUAGACAGGAGGAAGUUAAGUGAAAAUCUGCAGGAAGGAUCUGUUCCUUCGGAUAAGCGGCAGGCCAGCUCUUUAAUGUCCUCAUGGAAGUGACAGAAAAAGGGAAAUAAAAUACAAUGAACUAUA